UACGUAGGCAGCGAGCGUUGUUCGGAAUUACUGGGCGUAAAGAGUGUGUAGGCGGUGCUCCCAGUCUGUUGUGAAAUCUCCCGGCUUAACUGGGAGGGUGCAGCGGAAACUAGAGUGCUAGAGGGUGGGAGAGGUAAGCGGAAUUCCUGGUGUAGCGGUGAAAUGCGUAGAUAUCGGGAGGAACACCGGUGGCGAAGGCGGUUCUCUGGGCCUGUACUGACGCUGAGGAGCGAAAGCGUGGGGAGCGAACAGG
rnacentral:rRNA from 1 species